rfam:Trichuris suis scaffold361.1, whole genome shotgun sequence.
GGGUUAGUGGUCUAGUGGCAUGAUUCUCGCUUUGGGUGCGAGAGGUCCGGGGUUCGAUUCCCCGCUAACCCC